rnacentral:snRNA from 1 species
GUGCUCACUUCGGCAGCACAUAUCCUAAAAUUGGAAAGAUACAGAGAUUAGCAUGGCCCCUGCACAAGGAUGACAUGCAAAUUCGUGAAGGAUUCCAUUUUUAA